GACGAACGCUGGCGGCGUGCUUAACACAUGCAAGUCGAACGGAAAGGCCCUGCUUUUGUGGGUUGCUCGAGUGGCGAACGGGUGAGUAACACGUGAGUAACCUGCCCUUGACUUUGGGAUAACUUCAGGGGACUCGGGCUAAUACCGGAUAUGAGCUCCUGCUGCAUGGUGUGGGUUGGAAAGUUUCGGCUGUUGGGGAUGUACUCGCGGCUUAUCAGCUUGUUGGUCGGGUAGUUGCUUACCAAGGCUUCGACGGGUAGCCGGCCUGAGAGGGUGACCGGCCACAUGGGGCCUGAGAUACGGACCAGACUGCUACGGGAGGCAGCAGUGGGGAAUAUUGCACAAUGGGCCGAAGCCUGAUGCAGCAACGCCGGGUGCGGGAUGACGGCCUUCGGGUGGUAAACCGAUUUCGCCUGUGACGAAGCGUGAGUGACGGUAAUGGGUAAAGAAGCACCGGCUAACUACGUG
rnacentral:rRNA from 1 species